UACGUAGGGUGCAAGCGUUUGUCCGGAAUUAUUGGGCGUAAAGAGCUUGUAGGCGGUUUGUCGCGUCUGCUGUGAAAUUUCGGGGCUCAACCCCGAACUUGCAGUGGGUACGGGCAGACUAGAGUGUGGUAGGGGAGACUGGAAUUCCUGGUGUAGCGGUGAAAUGCGCAGAUAUCAGGAGGAACACCAAUGGCGAAGGCAGCACUCUGGGACGUGACUGACGCUGAGACGCGAAAAGCGUGGGGGAGCAAACAGG
rnacentral:rRNA from 1 species